UACGUAGGGGGCUAGCGUUGUCCGGAAUCAUUGGGCGUAAAGCGCGUGUAGGCGGUUCGGUAAGUCCGCUGUGAAAGUCGGGGGCUCAACCCUCGAAUGCCGGUGGAUACUGUCGGGCUAGAGUGCGGAAGAGGCGAGUGGAAUUCCUGGUGUAGCGGUGAAAUGCGCAGAUAUCAGGAGGAACACCGGUGGCGAAGGCGGUUCUCUGGGCAUUACCUGACGCUGAGGCGCGAAAGCUAGGGGAGCGAACAGG
rnacentral:rRNA from 1 species